AUAUCUCUCUGUACCUGUCUCUUACACAUCUGACGCUGCGGUUCGAUUCGAGCGCAGCGAGAAAGCGUUGCCGCAGGCAACGACCCGAAGGGCGAAGCGCGCAGCGCUGAGUCAUCCUUCCCCCACCACCA
rnacentral:sRNA from 1 species